AAUGGAAAUUUAGGGUUCCAGGCUAUGGCGAGGCUGAGCACUGGCGUUACCACGCGCCAGUACGCUGAACGUAUGCCGCGCAUCUCCGAUACUCCUCUCUCAGCUCGGAUUCUGGAUUAGGGACUGCAGUGCCGCCGCUACAGCACAGGCGAUUUCCAUCCAGAGCGCGGAGGCUUCUUGAUUGUCGAAAUGCGGCAGCCUGUGCUGCUCAAGAGCAACGAUUUCCGCUGGAAUUUUCCCAAGGAAAUCGUUGUGGCGUAUCCAAUUCAUCCCUCGCAACAUCUUCCAGCCAGGAGAACGAAAUUCCUACGGAGCCUGGAGUACUGUGGUUUGCGAUCAUCGGAAUAUGCAGGUAGAUAGAUACCUUUUAAUGAUUUCUAGAACUUGAGAUCUAGACGAUUGCAUCGAAGAGUUUGGCAACCAGUAAAGUUCCUCGACUUUGGUUCCAGCCGGAGCUAUACGGAAUGUAAAGAAAAUGGUGAAGAGCGCAAGAAAAAAGUCAUACACUCUUGCCGUCGGGAAGCCAAAUCCUGCAAAGCUUGCAAACAUUCCUGAGGUAACUCUCUUGGAGUAGUGUGAUGUGUUUGUCCUUGUAGCAUGUCCACCGGCGUUAGAGUUCUUUGAUCUUGAAAACUGGGAACUCCGGCAGUAUUGGAGGAAAAAGACGCACAAUGUUACUCGCUCGACUCUAAGGAGAGAAACCAGGCUAUCCUAUGGCUGCAAUUUAUAGAAAUUCGCUGUGUUGUUGGAAACAUUGCUCGCUUGCAGGCGAUUGAUCUCAGCUCGCGUGGUGCGAGGUGAGACGCAAACCUGGCAGGAACGGUGGCCACUUUGAAAGCUCCCAUGCAUGCCGAUGAUCCACUUUUCUCUUUCACGAUUUGCUACUUGACCAGUGUACUCACGUACUUGGACAAGGUGCUACCUUCGAAGGAGUUUUGACAACGUCUUGACAAGUCAUUGCCGUGCGUUCUCAACUCUAGGUGUGUCGCGCGCUAUACCAAUCAUUCGAGAGGGACCCGAAGCGGCAGAGCAUGGGGAUUGGGAGUUGAUGAGCUCCGACCAGAUUGAAGGAUCCAUUGACCUCUUCCUCUAGGUGCACGCAUGGGUCAUGCUCUUCUUGGUCCUGUCUAUCAUGCCGUCCAGGAAUCCAUCGAUUUAGCUUGGCAUCAUGUUCUAAAGAGGAAAAUAUUAUUCGCGAUCAUGGUGGGAUUUCCUGUGUGGAGGAGACCAUUGUGACACGAUCAAGGCUAAGAUUAGAAUUGCUUGGGAUUGUAGCUUGAAAUCGGGCCUUGUAUGGGGAGAACAACAAAAAAUAAAAGCAUUUGCACUCACGAA